AACGAACGCUGGCGGCAGGCUUAACACAUGCAAGUCGAGCGCCCCGCAAGGGGAGCGGCAGACGGGUGAGUAACGCGUGGGAAUCUACCCAUCUCUACGGAAUAACGCAUGGAAACGUGUGCUAAUACCGUAUACGUCCUUCGGGAGAAAGAUUUAUCGGAGAUGGAUGAGCCCGCGUUGGAUUAGCUAGUUGGUGGGGUAAAGGCCUACCAAGGCGACGAUCCAUAGCUGGUCUGAGAGGACGAGCAGCCACACUGGGACUGAGACACGGCCCAGACUACUACGGGAGGCAGCAGUGGGGAAUAUUGGACAAUGGGCGAAAGCCUGAUCCAGCCAUGCCGCGUGAGUGAUGAAGGCCCUAGGGUUGUAAAGCUCUUUCACCGGUGAAGAUACUGACGGUAACCGGAGAAGAAGCCCCGGCUAACUUCGUGCCAGCCGCCGCCGUAAGAC
rnacentral:rRNA from 1 species